GAUGAACGCUAGCUACAGGCUUAACACAUGCAAGUCGAGGGGAAACGACAUCGAAAGCUUGCUUUUGAUGGGCGUCGACCGGCGCACGGGUGAGUAACGCGUAUCCAACCUGCCCACCACUUGGGGAUAACCUUGCGAAAGUAAGACUAAUACCCAAUGACGUCUCUAGAAGACAUCUGAAAGAGAUUAAAGAUUUAUCGGUGAUGGAUGGGGAUGCGUCUGAUUAGCUUGUUGGCGGGGUAACGGCCCACCAAGGCGACGAUCAGUAGGGGUUCUGAGAGGAAGGUCCCCCACAUUGGAACUGAGACACGGUCCAAACUCCUACGGGAGGCAGCAGUGAGGAAUAUUGGUCAAUGGACGAGAGUCUGAACCAGCCAAGUAGCGUGCAGGAUGACGGCCCUAGGGGUUGUAAACUGCUUUUAUAAGGGAAUAAAGUGAGUCUCGUGAGACUUUUUGCAUGUACCUUAUGAAUAAGGACCGGCUAAUUCCGUG
rnacentral:rRNA from 1 species